GAUGAACGCUGGCGGCGUGCCUAAUACAUGCGAGUCGAGCGAACAGACGAGGAGCUUGCUCCUCUGACGUUAGCGGCGGACGGGUGAGUAACACGUGGAUAACCUACCUAUAAGACUGGGAUAACUUCGGGAAACCGGAGCUAAUACCGGAUAAUACAUUGAACCGCAUGGUUCAAUAGUGAAAGACGGCUUUGCUGUCACUUAUAGAUGGAUCCGCGCCGCAUUAGCUAGUUGGUAAGGUAACGGCUUACCAAGGCAACGAUGCGUAGCCGACCUGAGAGGGUGAUCGGCCACACUGGAACUGAGACACGGUCCAGACUCCUACGGGAGGCAGCAGUAGGGAAUCUUCCGCAAUGGGCGAAAGCCUGACGGAGCAACGCCGCGUGAGUGAUGAAGGUCUUCGGAUCGUAAAACUCUGUUAUUAGGGAAGAACAAAUGUGUAAGUAACUAUGCACGUCUUGACGGUACCUAAUCAGAAAGCCACGGCUAACUACGUG
rnacentral:rRNA from 1 species